AUUUAUGUCGAGUUCAUUUUUAAAGAAACUGCGAACGGCUCGUCAGAACAGAUGCCAAUUAUUCGCAAUGUCUCAUGGGAUUAUUGCGGUAGUUCUGGGGCUAAAUUCAUGACGGGUAUCGGCACAAUAUACCUGAGAAUAAACCCGGUCGGCGCGAUUAUUCGCAUUCAUGAACGCGCCGCGGAGUUUAUUUGGGGGAUAUCGCGGGUCUAUUCCACUCCGCUGCGCGUUCAUGAUCGCGAAUAAUCGCGCCGACCGGGAUUUAUUCUCGGGUAUAUUGUGCCGAUACCCGUCAUGAAUUUAGGCCCUGGAGCUAAAUGAUUCAAUAAAACCCUGACUUUUAGAGAGGUACAAUUGCUAGUGUAAACCAAUCAUCUUUGGAUGUUGUUUGUUGUUUCUGAAUAACGCAUCAUAUCGGUGGCUUCUCCUCUGAUAUUCCGAGAACGUGUCUACCCUAUCAACCUUAUAGUAGUUUAUUAGUCUACCAUGAUUAUUACGGGUAACGGAG
rnacentral:ncRNA from 1 species